rnacentral:tRNA from 1 species
AAGGAUUUAAGUUAAAAAAACUCACAGCCUUCAAAGCUGUAAAUAAAGAAAGUGCUUUAAGCCUUA